rnacentral:rRNA from 1 species
GGACCUGCGGUGCAUUAGCUUGUUGGUGGGGUAACGGCCUACCAAGGCGAUGAUGCAUAGCCGAGUUGAGAGACUGAUCGGCCACAAUGGGACUGAGACACGGCCCAUACUCCUACGGGAGGCAGCAGUAGGGAACUUCCACAAUGGGCGCAAGCCUGAUGGAGCAACACCGCGUGAGUGAAGAAGGGUUUCGGCUCGUAAAGCUCUGUUGUUAAAGAAGAACACGUAUGAGAGUAACUGUUCAUACGUUGACGGUAUUUAACCAGAAAGUCACGGCUAACUACGUGCCAGCAGCCGCGGUAAUACGUAGGUGGCAAGCGUUAUCCGGAUUUAUUGGGCGUAAAGAGAGUGCAGGCGGUUUUCUAAGUCUGAUGUGAAAGCCUUCGGCUUAACCGGAGAAGUGCAUCGGAAACUGGAUAACUUGAGUGCAGAAGAGGGUAGUGGAACUCCAUGUGUAGCGGUGGAAUGCGUAGAUAUAUGGAAGAACACCAGUGGCGAAGGCGGCUACCUGGUCUGCAACUGACGCUGAGACUCGAAAGCAUGGGUAGCGAACAGGAUUAGAUACCCUGGUAGUCCAUGCCGUAAACGAUGAGUGCUAGGUGUUGGAGGGUUUCCGCCCUUCAGUGCCGGAGCUAACGCAUUAAGCACUCCGCCUGGGGAGUACGACCGCAAGGUUGAAACUCAAAGGAAUUGACGGGGGCCCGCACAAGCGGUGGAGCAUGUGGUUUAAUUCGAAGCUACGCGAAGAACCUUACCAGGUCUUGACAUCUUGCGCCAACCCUAGAGAUAGGGCGUUUCCUUCGGGAACGCAAUGACAGGUGGUGCAUGGUCGUCGUCAGCUCGUGUCGUGAGAUGUUGGGUUAAGUCCCGCAACGAGCGCAACCCUUGUUACUAGUUGCCAGCAUUAAGUUGGGCACUCUAGUGAGACUGCCGGUGACAAACCGGAGGAAGGUGGGGACGACGUCAGAUCAUCAUGCCCCUUAUGACCUGGGCUACACACGUGCUACAAUGGACGGUACAACGAGUCGCGAACUCGCGAGGGCAAGCAAAUCUCUUAAAACCGUUCUCAGUUCGGACUGCAGGCUGCAACUCGCCUGCACGAAGUCGGAAUCGCUAGUAAUCGCGGAUCAGCAUGCCGCGGUGAAUACGUUCCCGGGCCUUGUACACACCGCCCGUCACACCAUGAGAGUUUGUAACACCCAAAGUCGGUGGGGUAACCUUUUAGGAGCCAGCCGCCUAAGGUGGGACAGAUG